GGUGACUUAGCGAAGUGGUUAACGCGCGAGAUUGCUAAUCUCGUGUCCUAUGGACGCGCAGGUUCGAAUCCUGCAGUCAUCG